rnacentral:lncRNA from 1 species
AAUGGGUCAGGUUUUCAGCACCCAUUCAAAGGAGCUGACAGAGCACUGAAACAAUCACUUCACAUUCAAGAAACAAUGUCCUGACAUCUGCAUUUUCCUAGAUUUGGAAUGAGGCAGCUGUGUGUGUUGGAAGAGAACUACAGUAUCCCAAGUGGAAAACCCCCUCAGAAAAGAAGACAGGAGGAGUGAUACACCUACCGCCCACAGCCCCUGAAGUUACCAGGCCAGCCCAGAUCUGCGAGGCCUUGGGGGAAAGUCCAUCAGGAGGUGGGCAAAGAUUCCAAAAGAGGCUCCAACCCCCGAUGUGGUCCAAGAUGUUUAUUCCAUAGGAGAAAGGGGGAAAGAGAGCGAACCAGGAAAGGACAGAGCUUUAUCUAGGCUCAGUACAGGAAGGGCUACUUGGCUCCCAGCCAACUGAUUCAGGAAAGGAAGGAAGGGUCAAACUAACAGGUCGUAUCUACAGGGGUCUCUGGGGAGGGAGAAACCAUUCCCCAGAGCAGUACAACAGAGGAGGGAUAAAAAAAGUGAGGAACUUUAAUUCACCUGUUCAAAUGACAAUCCACUAAAUAUGUGGAGAGUACAAGAAAAGAGGGAAGGGUGAUACUGGUCAUGUUACUGAUGAGUAAUUAGUCAGUAUAUGAUCUUCUUGUGGGAUGUAUCAGAAGACUUCCUUUUGGUCCACAGGAUUCUUGAAGGCUGGAUCGGUUUCUACUGUUCUAGAGAAUUUCCUGACCUAAAAUAGGGGUAGGUUUGCAUUGUGUCUCACAAACAAGGUAUUUUGUAAAAAGGAUAAGCACUUCAGAAGAGUGGAAUAUAGGAUAGAUAUAAACAUAUAUAUAUAUUCACACUUCAAUUACACAGAUAUGAAGUAUAAUAUUUAGAUUUUGUUUUGAUUCUGCAUGCACAGAGGUAUAGAGAGACACACAGGAAAGUUUCCAAGCCUAUCCCAUUUUAAGUCUUUUCAACUAGUUUUUGCAAUUUAGUACACUGUAGCAGGUUUGAGAUUUACAUCUAAAGACAAGUAGUGACUUGUCUGUCAGAUUAAAUAAUCUGUUAUCCCAAGCAUUUUAGGGGGUAGCACCUCUGACUGCUAGGAACCUAGACUAAGGAGACAGUGGCAUGUUUACAGAAUUUAUUUUUAUUCAGACAACCAUAAGCCUAGCCAUUUUAACAUUAUUUUUCAGAACAUGGCAUAGAAACAAUGGAUUUUUCACAUCCACAGGAAGAGCUGUUGCAUUAUUUCCAGUGUGAAGGUCUGUCCUGUAUUAUUCUCUUCUCUACACAUGCUUUUUUGUUUUGUUGUAUUACAGCAGAAAAAACCACAAAGACAUACCUGGAGUAUCUACCCAUGCUCUCCACUCGAGUUAUAGAUUGAUUUGUUUGGGUUUUUUGUUUUUGUUUUCUUUUUAAUAGUGUUGUCUUAAAAUCCAGAAAGUAGCAGUAGAAGUCCAAGGAGAUCAAGAGAACAAGCUAAGGGAUAAGUUCAAGGUUCACACCUAUUCUUUGAGGGUUUUGAAGGAGACAGAAUAGAGCAAUAAAUUAUGCCUUUACAACCAAAUACAAAUUCUCAAAACUAUGUUGAAGCAUGUGAUCUUGCCACUUUGAAAUCCAGGAAAUCACCCCAAGGAAAUUUACAAUGUCCAUUCUUACAUUCCUGCAUGUAAACCAUUAGAGCUUCUGUGGUAGCUAAUGAAGUUCAGGAUUCAUUAGAGCUUCACCCCUGUGUAUUCCAUUAAACCUGUUUUGGGAGAUAUUCUGCCACAGAACUGGUCUCCAGAUUUUAUACACCUACUAAUGUUUUUUAGGAUAUUUUCACAUCAAUAGACACAUUAAUCUUUUAAAAUGUAAACCAAAUAUAAUCUGAAUAAAGAAUGACUUAAAUUGAGGAAGGGACUUAGAAAAUGUGGUAACUAAAAUAGUCUUUUCCAGAGACUGAGGUCAAGGAGUGCUAAAAGCUUGUGGUUUUUUUCCUAAAUGGGGAAGUAAGUAUCCUUUUUCUUUCCCCACUGUAAGCAGGCAAGAAUUUUUUACUUUUUUUGGGAUGCAUUGAUAAUAUCUGCUAAUUAGGGGCAGAAUGGCCCUGCAUCUUUCAUAAAGCAAAUAGUCAGGGCACUGCGUCAGUGACUUAGUAGCACUUCGAGAUUUCUGGAAAUUCCUUGGCUUUCAUCCUAUUGCCACUCCCUAGCUGGACUGUAAUGAGGCUUGGAUGGAAAAUUUUAAGAACCUUUGUAUUUUGCCUGCACAGAGAAAGGACUGCUAUAAAUUGACUACUGUUACCUUGGAUAUUUUUAGAGGAUAGCAAAAUUGAUUGAUUGUAUCUGGAUUAUAGUCUCUUAAAGUAAUUGUCUCUUAACAAAAGUAAUUGUCUUAGAGGAAAAAGAUAAAUAUCUAUAAACUUGCACACACAUAUGUUGUGCAUAACUUUAGAUUACUGUUGGCAUAAUGGUAAAUAGCUUCAGUGGUAUGCAGACUUCCAACACUAAAGUGGCUGAUGGUUUGAAAAGAAAUUGAGGUAGAAAGACAAAACAAAGGCAAAUUACAGUCAGUACAAUGCUGAUAAUAAUUAUUUGUAUUUAAGAUUUGUGUAUGCUGUCAUGCAACUAAGCACACCCAACUUAGCAGUGGCUUUCCACUGCGGCUGGAAUGGUAUUAGAGUAGGCAGCACUUGGAGUGUGUGCAGCCUUGCAUUUACUUUUCUGCGUAUAUAUGAAUAUUUGCACUCUGCGUGAGGUGAUGUUUUGGAUCACUAGUUCUGUGUGUAAGAACCUCAAAUAGCACCAAGUUCAAUGUUCGCUAUUCUAGACAAUGGAAUAUUUUUUAAUAUUACUAAUGUGGAAUACUCAUAGGAAAAUACAUGAAGGAAUGCCUGAGUAAAUCCCCUCUCUGAUUUUCAAACAUGCUUAUCAUAAGACUAGUUUAAAGACUUAUUGAGAGAUUAUACGAGCAAACCUGGCUUAUAUUGGGAUUCUGCCACAUCCUUGGAUCUUCCCCACAAAAAUGUUAAUAAUAUCAGACUUUUUCCAAGAAUAAGAAUUGAUAGAAAUAGACUUGUUUACCUUGGUUCUGCCAGUUGAUGAACCC